rnacentral:rRNA from 2 species
GGAUGCGAUCAUACCAUCACUAAAGCACCGGAUCCCAUCAGAACUCCAAAGUUAAGUGUGCUUGGGAGAGAGUAGUACUAGGAUGGGUGACCUCCUGGGAAGUCCUGGUGCUGCAUUCC